UCGAUGUAAGAGAUGCGACGCGAGUUUUUGAGUGACACGCUGGCAGGUCACGUGACCUGGCCGAGCUGUGGCGCAGUUUUCGAGCUGCGUGUGCGCUCUUUUCCCGCCCGACCUUCAUGAGGGGUGGAUGCGUGUGUCCCAGCGCGACGCUGAUGAGUGCUCGGCUCGCUCCGGUUGGCCCGGGGACGUGUAGGCCAGUCGAUAGCUGUGCGCUUUCCCCCGUGGCUGGAGCCGAGAGCGGUCUCGUGGCCGGGGCGUUUGAGUGGCCGGCCCCUGACGGCCCAGGGUGCGGCGGUGCCGCUGUUGACGAGUGGCACGUACAGCGGAGACGAGGAACAGCCGGUAGGAGCUAGUGUUUAUUAUGUUCUGCCAUUGUCUAUAUGUUGAGUUUAAGAACGCUGUAACGUAAUAUGUACAGUUUAUCAAAAGGUCGACUGUUUCGGACGGAAUUCAGUGUGGACUGUGGUUACUGAUGGGAGAUUUGGUACUGACCUGUGUACCCCUGUGUGUGCGUGCGCCUCCCACAGUAACAAGGGCAAUAAAGGUCCUUCGUCAA
rnacentral:lncRNA from 1 species